GUGUGUGGGUGUGUGUGUGAGUGAGAGUGUGAGUGUGCGCAACUUCCAAAACACAGGCCUCAUCUCUUCCUGUGUACGUUAGGUAUUCUACUUUCAUCAGUUCUCUUGAGUACUGAGACUGUUGAGCAGAGUAACCAUUUCAGGUUUACCUAUCGAAAUCACCUGAGGUCACAUCUGUGAAUUACUGCUUUACCUAAAAAGCGAAUCUUUGCAAGGUGGGAGAAAAGAAAAACAUGUAAACUCCACAAAGAAGGUGUGUUUAAAGAUAUAUUUAUUUUAUACACUUGUUUCCAUGAAUAAAAUAUGUCUCUUCAAAAAACAAUGUACAAUCUUACAAUCUUGCAAUAUUAUAAUUGCGCUUUAUAUAUACAAUGAAACAUAAAAACAUAACCCAUAUAUCAAUAUAUAUAUAUAUGUAUAUAUAUAUAUUUAUGUAUAUAUAUAUAUAUAUAUAUCUAAACACACACAAUAAAAAGCAUAACAAAAUACUUGGACUACAUUCUACAUGUCUGAGAUCGAAGAUUUGAGGACAGCUGCCUUGGUACAAUAUUCAGUUUGUACAUAACAACUGGUACUUUGGUCAGUCAUUAACAGUCAUAGUUUUAAAUAUGUCUGAGGUAUUUGUGGUAAGAUUAGAGUUAUAA